AUGGAGUUUGGGCUGAGCUGGGUUUUCCUUGUUGCUAUUCUAAGAGGUGUCCAGUGUGAGGUGCAGCUGGUGGAGUCUGGGGGAGGCUUGGUGAAGCCUGGGGGGUCUCUGAGACUCUCCUGUGUAGCCUCUGGAUUCACCUUUGAUGACUAUGCCAUGAGCUGGGUCUGCCAGGCUCCAGGGAAGGGGCUGGAGUGGGUCUCAUCCAUUAUUAGUGUUUUUGAUAGCACAAACUAUGCUGACUCCGUGAAGGGCCGAUUCACCAUCUCCACAGACGACUCCAAGAACACGCUGAAUCUGCAAAUGAACAGCCUGAGAACGGAGGACACGGCCGUGUAUUACUGUGCCCAAGUGUGGUUGGGGAUGAUCCUGAAUUUGUCCUCAGCCACAGCACCUGGCUCAUGCACCUGGUGGUGUCUGCAGUGUCCUGGGCAGCAGGAGUGGCAGCACAGAGCUCCCCCCCUGCUUCUGCUCCUGGGGAGACUGACCCCUCCAGUGCCCUCCGUGGCCCUGCCUUCAGGGCUCCUGGCUGUGCCCUCUGAGAACGGGGACCAGCUGGGUCUGUGGGUCUAUUGA